AAUAUUGCGUAAUGGGGGAAACCCUGACGCAGCAACGCCGCGUGAGCGAAGAAGGCCUUCGGGUCGUAAAGCUCUGCCUAGAGGGAUGAAUAAGGACAGUACCCCUGGCGGAAGCCCCGGCUGACUACGUGCCAGCAGCCGCGGUAAUACGUAGGGGGCGAGCGUUGUCCGGAAUUACUGGGCGAAAAGGGUACGUAGGCGGCUAUAUAAGUCAGGUGUGAAAUACCAGUGCUUAACACUGGAAUUGCAUUUGAAACGGUGUAGCUUGAGUGCAGGAGAGGAAAGUGGAAUUCCUAGUGUAGCGGUGAAAUGCGUAGAGAUUAGGAGGAACACCAGUGGCGAAGGCGACUUUCUGGACUGUAACUGACGCUGAGGUACGAAAGCGUGGGUAGCGAAC
rnacentral:rRNA from 1 species